rnacentral:rRNA from 1 species
UUAAACCUCUAAAGCUUGGCAGUUGUAAUUUUUUAGAGAAACUUGUUUUAUAAUUGUAAAUUCUCAUUAAAUUUAACUUUUAUUAAAAGUUUAUAUACCGCCGUUUCAUUGAAGUAAUAUAAAUAAAAUAUCUAAAUAAACAACUAUUAAAAAAUCAGGUCAAGGUAUAACCCAUAUACAAGUAAAAAUUAGUUACAAAUAAAAAAAAAUUAACAAAAACGUUUUUAAAACAAAAUUCAAAACAGAAUCUAAAAAUAAUAAAAAUAUUAAAAAUUCAAACUGAAAUUAUUGAUUAUAAUGCACACAUCGCCCCGUCGCUC